rnacentral:lncRNA from 1 species
AAUGGCACGAAGCCUUUCAUUCUUUUGACUUUUUUCUACUAUUGAAAUUUUAUAUUUUUUCAGAACGUGCCCACAAAAGAGAGUCAAAUUUCGACACUCUCUUUUUAUUUUAUUUAACUUCGAAUCUUGAUCACGACAUGUUCUUGCAACUUUCAAGAUGUCGUCCAUGCCGCAAUUGUUAUGAAAUUUCUUUUCGCCCCUGUAUUCCAUGGAAAAAAAUAUUAUUUUACUGUGUGCCGCAUUUUGUCCAACAUCACAAUGGAAUGGAAAAAUUCUUGUGGAAUAUACUAGGUAAGAAAUGGGAAAGCAUGUAACAUGAAGAGUUAGGAGAAGGAACUAGGAUUUGCUACCAUAGUUAAUCCAGCAUGUUUAGGGUCUAUUGUAUCAUUUAAGACUCUAUCUCAAGG